rnacentral:rRNA from 1 species
AUUGAACGCUGGCGGCAUGCCUUACACAUGCAAGUCGAACGGCAGCAUGGAGAGCUUGCUCUCUGAUGGCGAGUGGCGAACGGGUGAGUAAUGCAUCGGAACGUACCGUGUAGUGGGGGAUAACGUAGCGAAAGUUACGCUAAUACCGCAUACGCACUGAGGUGGAAAGCAGGGGAUCGCAAGACCUUGCGCUAUACGAGCGGCCGAUGUCAGAUUAGCUAGUUGGUAGGGUAAAGGCCUACCAAGGCGACGAUCUGUAGCGGGUCUGAGAGGAUGAUCCGCCAAACUGGGACUGAGACACGGCCCAGACUCCUACGGGAGGCAGCAGUGGGGAAUUUGGACAAUGGGGGCAACCCUGACCCAGCCAUGCCGCGUGAGUGAAGAAGGCCUUCGGGUUGUAAAGCUCUUUCGGCCGGGAAGAAAUCGCACAGGCUAAUACUCUGUGUGGAUGACGGUACCGGCAUAAGAAGCACCGGCUAACUACGUGCCAGCCGCCGCAGUAA